rnacentral:lncRNA from 1 species
AAACAAUGCAUCUGAGUGAUUGGAAGGGCUGCAGCCAGGAUCCACCCCUUCCAGCCCUCAUUUAAGGGCUGGCAGUGGAAGUGUGGGCAUCUCUCUUUAGAGGUCCUUGCUUAUCUGGGUCUUCUGAAGGCUGAGCCAGCUCAUCCAGCUCGAAACUCCGACUAAAAACAUCAUCUAAAAACAGCUCCUCGUGCUGGUGCCCAGAGGGGAGGAGCAGAACCCAGCGGGCACAGACGGAGCUUCAAUAAAUAGCGGAGCCUACAGGACCGGGAGGGGAUGGGAAGGAUGUCACAAUGACAGCAGCAGCUCUGCACAGGUUGGGAUGCAGGAUGUGCAGCUGCCAUGCACCCGGUGCACCCUGCACAUGGCUGUGGUGAGGUCACAGCUCCCCUGCAGCCUGGCCGGCUCUUGGAGCUGGUAAUGAAUGCUACAAGAGUAUCAUGGUUUUCUUAUUACCAAUUAAAUGAGCUUUCCCGGGGUUGAAAACCAAUCAUUUUUCUUUCAAAGCUUCAUGUAUUAGAUAGACACAGCAUUAAAAAAAACCACAACACAGGACAUUUGAAAUGCUGUGUUUACUCUUCUCUUCGGAGGAGCUCAACUGUUCUCUGCUGGGAUGCACAUAAGGCCCAUAUUUCCACUCUAGGUAUUUUUGGUCAGAAGGAGAAGAUAAAUAGUGCACUCCAAACGUCACACUUCAGCCGGCCCCAGCUAACUUUGGGCAAGAAAACCUCACACGGAACACCAGCGCAUUUUGAGCCUGAACUGUAAUUCUCUUCUCCUGGCAGGAAUUUGUUGCUAAUCGAGCCUAUCUGCAGCAUGGGAACCAACGAGUGAGGGCUGAAACCAAGGCUGUCAGACUCACUUCACUUACUGGUUAUGAAAUGGGACAAAACAGACCCAGAGUCACACGGAAACAUGAGCACGGCGGUGACACGGCCUUCCAUGCACAGCGUCAGCACUAAAAACAGCAUAUAGAUGGUUUGGGAAGUUAUAAACACCGACCUCAUGAUUCUAUUCUGGGUUGGUCC